AGCCCAGCUUGCUGGGUGGAUCAGUGGCGAACGGGUGAGUAACACGUGAGCAAUCUGCCCCUGACUCUGGGAUAAGCGCUGGAAACGGCGUCUAAUACUGGAUACGAACCGUGGAGGCAUCUUCAACGGUUGGAAAGAUUUUUUGGUCAGGGAUGAGCUCGCGGCCUAUCAGCUUGUUGGUGAGGUAAUGGCUCACCAAGGCGUCGACGGGUAGCCGGCCUGAGAGGGUGACCGGCCACACUGGGACUGAGACACGGCCCAGACUCCUACGGGAGGCAGCAGUGGGGAAUAUUGCACAAUGGGCGAAAGCCUGAUGCAGCAACGCCGCGUGAGGGAUGACGGCCUUCGGGUUGUAAACCUCUUUUAGCAGGGAAGAAGCGUGAGUGACGGUACCUGCAGAAAAAGCGCCGGCUAACUACGUGCCAGCAGCCGCGGUAAUACGUAGGGCGCAAGCGUUAUCCGGAAUUAUUGGGCGUAAAGAGCUCGUAGGCGGUUUGUCGCGUCUGCUGUGAAAUCCCGAGGCUCAACCUCGGGUCUGCAGUGGGUACGGGCAGACUAGAGUGCGGUAGGGGAGAUUGGAAUUCCUGGUGUAGCGGUGGAAUGCGCAGAUAUCAGGAGGAACACCGAUGGCGAAGGCAGAUCUCUGGGCCGUAACUGACGCUGAGGAGCGAAAGGGUGGGGAGCAAACAGGCUUAGAUACCCUGGUAGUCCACCCCGUAAACGUUGGGAACUAGUUGUGGGGUCCAUUCCACGGAUUCCGUGACGCAGCUAACGCAUUAAGUUCCCCGCCUGGGGAGUACGGCCGCAAGGCUAAAACUCAAAGGAAUUGACGGGGACCCGCACAAGCGGCGGAGCAUGCGGAUUAAUUCGAUGCAACGCGAAGAACCUUACCAAGGCUUGACAUAUACGAGAACGCUGCAGAAAUGUAGAACUCUUUGGACACUCGUAAACAGGUGGUGCAUGGUUGUCGUCAGCUCGUGUCGUGAGAUGUUGGGUUAAGUCCCGCAACGAGCGCAACCCUCGUUCUAUGUUGCCAGCACGUAAUGGUGGGAACUCAUGGGAUACUGCCGGGGUCAACUCGGAGGAAGGUGGGGAUGACGUCAAAUCAUCAUGCCCCUUAUGUCUUGGGCUUCACGCAUGCUACAAUGGCCGGUACAAAGGGCUGCAAUACCGUAAGGUGGAGCGAAUCCCAAAAAGCCGGUCCCAGUUCGGAUUGAGGUCUGCAACUCGACCUCAUGAAGUCGGAGUCGCUAGUAAUCGCAGAUCAGCAACGCUGCGGUGAAUACGUUCCCGGGUCUUGUACACACCGCCCGUC
rnacentral:rRNA from 1 species